AACGAACGCUGGCGGCAGGCUUAACACAUGCAAGUCGAACGGGUGUCGCAAGACAUCAGUGGCAGACGGGUGAGUAACACGUGGGAACCUUCCUAGGGGUACGGAACAACUCAGGGAAACUUGAGCUAAUACCGUAUACGUCCGUAAGGAGAAAGAUUCAUCGCCCCUAGACGGGCCCGCGUCGGAUUAGGUAGUUGGUGGGGUAACGGCCUACCAAGCCUACGAUCCGUAGCUGAUCUGAGAGGANGAUCAGCCACACUGGGACUGAGACACGGCCCAGACUCCUACGGGAGGCAGCAGUGGGGAAUCUUGGACAAUGGGCGCAAGCCUGAUCCAGCCAUGCCGCGUGAGUGAAGAAGGCCUUAGGGUUGUAAAGCUCUUUUACCAGGGACGAUAAUGACGGUACCUGGAGAAUAAGCCCCGGCAAACUUCGUGCCAGCAGCCGCAGU
rnacentral:rRNA from 1 species